UACAGAGGGUGCAAGCGUUGUUCGGAAUUACUGGGCGUAAAGAGUGUGUAGGCGGUGCUCCAAGUCUGGUGUCGAAAUCUCCCGGCUUAACUGGGAGGGUGCAUUAGAAACUGGAAUGCUAGAGGAUGGGAGAGGUAAGCGGAAUUCCUGGUGUAGCGGUGAAAUGCGUAGAUAUCAGGAGGAACACCUGUGGUGUAGACAGCUUACUGGACCAUUUCUGACGCUGAGACACGAAAGCGUGGGUAGCAAGCAGG
rnacentral:rRNA from 1 species